GUCCGUUUGGAGAUAUAAAGGGUCUGACCUGCUCACUGAUAGAAUUAUUUAAGAGCCGCGGUAUAUUGACCGUGCAAAGGUAGCAUAAUCAUUAGGGGUUUAAUUGGAACCUUGUAUGAAGGGUUGGACAAAGGAAAAACUGUCUUUAUGUUAUAAGUUGAAAUUUACUUUUAAGUGAAAAGGCUUAAAUAAAUCAAAGGGACGAUAAGACCCUAUAAAGCUUUAUAAGUUAUUUUAAUUCGGUUAAUUUAAAGAAUAAAAAGAUGAGUUGAAUUACUUUAUUUUGUUGGGGUGACAUGAGUAUAAUUGUUAUUAACUGCUUAAAAAGUAUACUAUUAUAAAAGAGUUAUUCAUGAAUGAUCCUUUAUAAAGAUUAAAAGGCUAAGUUACUUUAGGGAUAACAGCGUUAUUUCUUUUGAGAGUUCAUAUCGAAAAAGAAGAUUGCGACCUCGAUGUUGAAUUAAAAUAUCUAUAUAAUGCAGCAGU
rnacentral:rRNA from 1 species